UCUUGCCAGGUGGUUAAGAGCGUGGACGUCGGGUUCAAACAUUGGUUCUGCCACCAAAAUGACUGGAAGUUCCUAUAAUCUUGCCGGACCUCUACCUCUUCAUUUAUUUGUUGUGGAUAAUAAUGCCUACUUUAUAGGGCAGAAUAGAUAGUCGUGAAUAGGAUGAGUUCUGGAGCCAGACGAGCUGAGUUCAAAUCAGGUUCUUCCACUUAUCACCUGUGUCACCGAGGGAUAAGUCUUUAAUUGCACUAUGCCUCAGUUUCCUCUUGUGUAAAAUGGGGAUAAUACUACUACUCAUUGUAUAGAAUUGCUGGGAGGAUCCAAGUAGUUUAACAUUUUUUAAAUGUUUAUUUUUAUUUUUUUUGAGAGAGAGAGAACACGAGCAGGGGAUGGGCAGAGAGAGAGGGAGACACACAGAAUCGGAAGCAGGCCCCAGGCUCCCAGCUGUCAGCACAGAACCCACAAGCCGCGAGAUCAUGACCUGAGCUGGAGUCAGGCGCUUAACCGACAGAGCCACCCAGGCGCCCCAGGAUCCAAUUAGUUUAAACAUAUAGAAGCUUCUUGAACAACGUCUGGCACAUGAUUCACAAUCAAUGGAUAUUAUCUGUGAUUAUUAGAGUGUUUCUAGGAAAAUUACAGUGAGAUAAUGCUCACAAAAGCCUUGUAUAUGUUGCACCCCUAGUAAGUGAUAGCUCUCAUUAGUGGGACACGAGCCCUUCGGUCCAUUCCCCCUCUUCCCACGCUCAUACUUGGGGAAGUUUGGAGCAAACAAUCCCAACUUCUCUCUAAUUGUUGUGCAAGCAACCAGUGUCUUCUUUCAUUUGUCACGGUUUGCUCCUCACUGUGCUGUUUACUAGUGGGCAAGGAGAUUCUUCUGCCUCUCAAACAGGAAGAAACUUCACCCUCUUGCCCCUCUGCAUGUGCUCAUUUCCUGCCUUCAUGGGGGAAGUCCACCUCAGAAGAAUCCUUCCGCUGGAGGAGGUAUCCCUCUCUCCCUUUCUGUCCCAGCCUCGCGUCUGACCUGGUAGAUAAGUCCCAGGGUUACAAGAUGAAUAGCUCUUUUGAGGGCAGGGGAUCGUCUGUUUCCUGGGCAUGGAGGUGGUGACGAAAAAGAUACAGAGGAGGCCUUCUCGAAGCCAGUGGGACCGAACGGGGGCCGCAGGCAAGAAAAGAGGAGAUGAUCCAGGCAAGAGUACAGCACAAGAGCGUAAUUCUCACCGCUGCAUCUUAUACCCGGGGGCAGAGCUGCAGAUGUUUCUGCGUCCCAGAAACGCCUCCCUUGGGCCACCUGAUUCCAGCGCAACAGUGAGGACGGUUUGCGCACACUGGGCCUGUCCUAUUUCAAACAUGCAGGGCUCGUUCAAAACCACAGUCAGUGGAAGGUCAGUCAGACUCUGUGCCUAGAAGAGCAAUGGGUGGAAAGAGAAUUAAUGCCUCCCGAGGCAAUCUGCGAGCAGUGGGGACUGCAGGUUGGUGACAACGUGAAGGUCAUUAAUGGUUUCUCAGAGGCUCCCCAGCAGGACUGAGUUCUGCUGUUCACAGAGGUAACUAGUUCAAUAACACACCUCUUAUAAGGGGGGGGGGGGGUCUUACCCCCCAACCCCAACUCACUCUCCUCGCGCUGUCACUGCUGCUUCCUGGGAUCACCUCACAAACAAACCACCCGCACCCACUUUCUGGUCUCAGGCUCUAAUGCUGGGGAGCUGACAGGGUUUGCUCUAAAAUGUGGCUCUGUUUACGCCCUUCCCCUCCCCAAAGUCCAUUUCGGGAGCCCAUUAAUUCCUGGAUGAUGGUACAUUUCCUGAGCCUGUCCCCCAAGACCCUGCUGGCUCUGGUCACUUCUCCCCCAAAGCCCUGGCCCUUGCCUCUUGGCCCCGAUGUGCCCUUUGCUCCGGCCGUGCCAGGCUACAGUUCACGCUCUGGUGCCUUCUCACUAACUGGAACAUUCCUUACCUUACCCCAUUGCAAAAGCUCAGGUGUCCUUCACCACACUGCUCACGUGUCCUGUCUUCUGGAAAGUCCUCCCUGACCUCCCGCAUGCAGCUGGAGCUGCUCCCCACUUAUGGUCUCAUUUUUCCUUUCCGCCAUACUCGAAUUGGCUAGUUAGCUGCCCUCUCUCCCUCUUGACUCUGUGCUCCUUUCUAGAGCAGAGACUACAUGCACCCUAUGCAGUUUUGUGUCCCGGGCCUAGUGCUCAGCUGGGACAGAGUUGAAAUGUGGCAGGGUGAGCGGGGACAGGACCAGGAGACGCAAGGCCCGGCGAGGGGCACAUGCGUGGUACCUUCCUGGGCUAAGGGCUCCACAUCCCCAAGGCCCGUCGCCCCAGCACCCCCACUCCUCUAAAAUUUGGUCUCUUGUCCGUUCAGCCUCAGGUCCCGCAACCUCACCUUCUGUUCAGAGCUUUAGCCACACCCAGUGUUUGCUGAACACCACAGACUCUUAAGCCACCCUGACUCUGCUCACAACCUUCCCUUUACUUGGAUUACUCUAGCUGCCCCUCCCCCCCCCCACACCCCCAGGAAUUUCUCCCUGCCCUUCAGGGCCCUUAUCAAGUACACGUGCAUCCAUAAGCCCUCACCUGCCAGGAACUGUGCCUUGUACGUUGUAGGUGCUUAAGAAGCUGGUUGUGGUUGUAUUGGGUGUGCUGGGUGGAGUGGGGGUCAUGGAUAUAUGUAUUUCAUAAAUACUUACAUUGGGCUGAAUAUAUCCUAGGCACUACUCCGUGUGCUGUGCACUGGUGAACUAAGUCUUUUAAAUGCUUAUUUUUGAGAGAGAGAGAGAAAGAGUCAUCAGAGAGAGAGAGGGGGCGAUAGAGGAUCCAGAGCGCCCUCUGCGAUAACACAGAGAGCCCAACGCGGGGCUCGAACUCACAGAGCACGAGAUCGUGACCUGAGCCGAAGUUGGAUGCUUAACUGACUCAGCCACCCAGGGGCCCUGAACUAAUUUAAUAUACAUAGUUCUAUAAGGAAAGUCUGACUGUUAUGCCCCACAGAGAGGCUGCUUAACUUUUCUAAGAUUGCAUAGCUAGAAAGUGCUACAGAAAGGAUUUGAACCCAAGCAAUUUGAGAAGGACAAACGUUCUUUUGCAGGCACGGGGGGCCAUGAAAGGGCUUUGAGUUCUGUCGGUGUGGAAGCACUGAGGGUAGCUCUGGACAGGACCAGGCUACACAGACGUGAGCUGUGAUUUUACUGGGCUGUGCAGGCUUGAAGUGACCGUAGGACAGGGGGAUUCAGGGGCUGUUCCUCAGGUCCCCAGGACAGUGGAGGUGGCUCUCAGGUCCUGGGGAGCCUUUGCUGUUGAGACAGAGCAUGUGGGAUGGCAAGAGGACCUUUUAAAUGGACGCUCUAAACUGGAAGGAGAAAAUCAAAUACUUGCUAUUUCGAUCAGACUCCCUUUCUGGGAGCUCUGAGGCCAAGCCUGGGUGAUCAGGGCAGCUGUGGACCCCUUGCAGGUGGCUGGGAACAACUUUAGAGGCCUGGGCUUCAGGUGAGGUGUGGACAUUGGCCCGAUCUUCACCGAGCAGGGCGCUGGAGGAGUGUGACUGGCAGGGAGUCUCUCUUGACUCCAUGAGCCUACUUUCUGCUCUGCCUUGGUAGGUGAGAGGGGUUCUCAAAAUAGCAAAAAUGGUGUUUAUGAAUGGAUGUGGGGAUCACAGGAAGACCCCCGUGUCAGUGGUCAGAAGCUUCGAUGUAAUAUACUGGGUGAUUUUGGUGGCAAGCUAUUUUCCCUCUAUGGGACUCAGUUUCCCCAUUUGUGAAAUGCAAAGGUUGGGCUGGAAGCCCAUGAAGGGCUCUCCUAGACUGAUGUUUAAUGAUUCUUCCUCGGGAAGCAGGAGGAAGGAGGGAAAAUGGGGUCUGUUAUGGCCUGAAUUGCGUCUCCCCAACCUUCAUCCAGAUGUUGAAGUCUUAACUUCAGAAUGGGACUGUAUAUGGAGACAGAUCCUUUGAAGAGGUCAUUAAGGUGAAAUGAGGUAUUUGGGAUGGGUUCUAAUCCAACCCGACUAGCGUCCUUACAUGAAGAAGAGUCUAGGACACAGACACACACGGAAGGAAAGCCAUGUGGAGACACCAGGAGAAGAUGCCCAUCUAAAGCCAAGGACGGAGGCCUCAGAGGAAAUCCACCUGCCAAGACCUUGGCCUUGGACUCCUAGCCUCUUGAACUGUGAGAAAAUCCAUUUCUGUUGUUUAAGCCACCUGGUCUGGAGUCCCUUGUUGUGACAGCCCUAGUAAACUGAGACAGGGUAACACCACCGCAGAUGCAAUGGCGGUGUCCUCCAGCUGCGGUGUCUGGGGCCAGGCUAAACCCGAGAGGAAAGCAGUGCAGACAGGACAAGGGGAGGGGUUCAGAGCAGGUCAUCCUGGGCAGUGUGUACAGAGCCUGCUAUGUUGUCAGGUCUAGAUGAGUAAGCCCUAGCCCUGCCCUCAAGGAGCUUCUAGUCUUCUGGAGGAGACAAAUACACAGUGACCCUUGUGCAGUGAGAGCCCUACAGUGAUGAAAUAUAUAUACCAUGCAGAUGCAGGAGGCCCGGGAUGACCUCACAGAGAAGACGCUUUGAAGGGUCAGUCGUCGUACUCGCCAAUUAGGGACCAGAGGGAAGAGCAUCUUAGGCAGAAAGGCCGGAACGUACGACGGCACAGAGACCCACGUGAUUCCGCGAAGGGAGGGAGGGAGGCAGGAUGCUGGCCAGCAGGACGGGACUGGAUCAGACAGACCCAGCCGCGGAGGAUGGACUUCCUCCUGAUUGGACUGGGGAGCCUGUGAAGGGUUAGGAGGGGGCUGAUGAUGCAAUUCAGCAUCAGAGGGAACAUCGCUUACAAGCAUGGGGGUCUGCAGCUAGACCCCCUGGGUCUCAGCAGUGCCGCUUACUAGCUGGUUGACCUUGAGCGGGUUACUUAUUCUCUGGGAACCUCUGUUCUCACCUGUGAAAUGAUGGUAACAGCAUGUGCCUUCUAGGUUCGCCACAAAGAUUAAGUGAACACCUACUAACAUGCUUUCCACAGUGCCUGGCAGGUUGAUGGCUCUUAAUUCACCCUGGUUGUUGGCUCAGCCUUGGUUUUGACACCUGCUCUCCUGGGGCUGAGACCAUUAUUUCAUCAACCCUUUCCAUUUGGUGAAGUGAGGAGUGAGGUCAGCGUAGGAAAUCAAUCAUCACAAACUGGAACCAGGAACUGAGAGGUGCAGAGGCUGCUGGAAAUGCAAGAACUUGCCAGGACGCAUUUCUGUAGGGUUCUAGGAGUCCUGGCCCUCAGCGGGGCACCCUCCGACACCUCGUAGGUUUGUGACGCACGUGGAGGAAGGAACUGAAAAGGGGACCUGAAAGAUGUGUUUUCUCAGAAACAGGCAAAGGGGGGCAGCAGAAUUGGGGGUGGGGGUAGAAUCACAGCCCCUCAGGACUGAGAGGCCCUCAGAGGUUAUCUGGCCUACAGAUACCAAAAUGGCAGCCGCUGCAUUAGCCUUGGCUCGAAGACCUGCUUUAGUUAACUUUAUAGUGUUUGAUAGGAUUAAAAGGGGCAAAGAGUUACUAGUUUUUAUAAUUCAACAUUUUUCACAAAACAUCCAGAUGUCCACCUUCUGAUGAAAAUCAGAACAUCUGGGAACGGUAGGCCAGCAUUUCCAUUUGGCAAGUGUCAGCAGCAACUGGAUGGCCAAUGCUGCCACAUCAGGUUCCCUUAGUUCAUUUUUGUUUUGUCCCUGCCCUGUUCUAGUAGGCAUUUGCUCGUAAGAUCACCAGGUGUAGGCCAGUAUUCUUAUUUUACAGAUGAGGAAACUGAGACCCAGAGUGAGGAUUUACCCCAUCCAAUUUUACACAAGUGAGUGAUCGAGCUCAGAAGGAACUCUGGGUCUCCACACACUCAGCCAAUUUCCACGCUCUGGGUUUUUUCCCCCUUUGCCUCAGUGUCCUGGUGGGAAGGACCAGGGAGCAAGGGGACAUGGUCUGCUUUUACCUUUAAUUGAUGGUAAUUUAAAAUUUUGUUUAAUGUUUAGUUAGUUUUGAGUGAGAGAGAGAAAGAGAGGGAGACAGAGAGCAGGGGAGGGGCAGAGAGAGAGGGAGACACAGAAUCCGAAGCAGGCUCCAGGCUUCGAGCUGUCGGCACAGAGCCCGACGCGGGGCUCGAACUCACGAACUGUGAGAUCAUGACCUGAGCCAAAGUCGGACACUUAACUGACUGAGCCACCCAGGCGCCUUUCAUCAGUGGUAGUUUUAAUAGUAACAGUAGUUAUCUGUUAAAAGCCUACAAAUUAUCGGGGGCUUCAUCCACAUUUAAUCCUCAUAACAAACCUGGAAAAUAGAUGUUAUUAUCCCAGUUUUUCAAAUGAGGAGUCUGAGGCUCAGAGAACUCAAAAAAGGUUUGCCUAAGGCCACCAGGCCACUGCAUGGUGGAGCUGGGACUUGAAUGGGGUCUCGCUGAAGCUAAAGCUCCAUGCCUUUGUUGCAGGCCUAUUAUUAAUUGAGCACUGGGUUAGGCCCUGGAAGCUGCAAAUCUUGGAAAGUUCUGGAGGCCACAGUCUGAAUGAUUUACCAAUGGGCAAUUUGGACAGCUGAAGGCAUGUCACAGGAGGUUUUGAUUUGCUGAAGUCCCAUGAGCUUCACGAGAGAGGGGUGACCUUAUCUCUCCCUGGGUCUGUCCACCUCUUUCUUCUCAGGCAGUCCUCAUCCUGGGAGGGGGCACUGGGAAAGGAGUGGGGAGACCUGGCCGAGGCUUCUGUUUACGAAUACAGAAGGCUUGCUCAUCUUCAAGAGCUCCCCACUCCCCAGCGUCCCCACGCUGGGUUAAUGGUCCCAGCUGAGGAUUCCCUAGCACUGUGACCUGACCUUGCACAUGGCAGUUGUCUCUUGGUGUGGACGUUUCCUUUAGUUUGUCUGUCUUCCCUCUUUAGAUUGUCUGCUCCCUCUGGCCAAGGGUCGAAUCUCAUUUAUGUCUAUAUCCCCACCACAUCGCCCAGUACAUGACUCACAACGGGCACAACUAUGGGCCUCUGGAAUGAAUGAGUGAAUGAAUCAAUGAAUGAAGGUACAAUGAAGGAACUAUUUUUUCUUCUUUUUUUUAAAGCUUAUUUAUUUAUUUUGAGAGAAAGUGAGAGAGCACAAAAGUCUGCAAGCAGAGGAGGGGCAGAGAGAGGGAGGCAGAGAAUCCCAAGCAGGCUCCUUGCCGUCAGCAGGGAGUCCUAUGGGAAGCGCCAUCCCACAAACUGGGAGAUCAUGACCUGAACCAAAGUCACGAGUCGGACGCUUAACUGACUAAGCCACCCAGGCUCCCUGAAGGACUAUCUCUUCUUUUUGAGGCUUAGUCUCUGGGAUCUGAAUCUUGGCUCCACACUUACUGAGUAGCAUGGACAAAUUCUCUAACCUCUCUGGGCCUCAGUUUCUAUAACUGUCAAAUGGAGGUGAUAAUCAUGCUUAUCUCAUUGUUCUUUGUUAGAGUUGAUUUCUUACCCGUAAAGGACUUAGCACAAUAUCUUGUACCAUGCUGUCUAAUACAGCAGCCACUAGUCACAUGUGGCUAUUUAAAUGAACUAAAAUAAAAAAAAAAAAUGAUCUAAAAUUAAAAAUUCACCUUUAAAGCAAAAAUCAAUUGCACUAGCCACAUUUCAAGUGGCUGGUCUAGAACCACAUGCGGCUAGUGGCUGGUAUAUUGGGCAACCCAGCUAGAGAAUGUUUCCAUCACAGAAAGUUCUAUUGAACAGAGCUGGUCUGGAACAUAGUAAGUUACUAUUAUUCUUACCGUUACCGUUACUCUCUCUCAGCUCAAGGCGGAGUGGAGUGCCGGGUUCUCUUUUGCACUAAUGGUGGAGAGUUGCCCUCAUGGCAGAGAAGGCUGAGACCGGACCCUGUGUGCGUCCUCUUCCUGGAAUGCUUUCCCCUGACCAUCACCUGGGCACUUCCUACUUGUGCCAGUGCCUGAGUGUCGGGCUUUAAAAAAGUCUUCAAAAGGCUGAGCCCAACAUAAGAGCUCUCCCCUCCUCUAUGAGGCUGGGCUCUCUUCAAGGGCAGGAGUGGGUUUUAUUCAUCCCUGUGUCUCCAGUGCCCAGCAUUUGGCAAGCACUCAAGAUAAGCUCGCCGAGGAAAUAGAGGGGCUGAGCCUACAGGUUUCCAAGGAUCUAAGGCGACAUGUUUGCGUGGCUUUGUGGCUGCAUCAGAGGCUUUGUGCCUGGGAGUGUGGAAGAGAGGGGGUGCUAGGAAGCAGACUGGGUCCGUGGACAGGAAGCAGGAGCAUAGGAAAUACUGGCAGGAGAGUGCGUGGCCUUCGAGACUGGUGGAGGCCACCAGGGACAUUACUAGAAGCACAAGGUGAGUGGGUGGGUGAACAGACAUCCCCGAAUUAAGGGGAGAACUGUCUUGUGCACAGGAGACAUGCCAAGGCCUCCCUGAAUCUGAGAGGAGGGACCAAGGUUUCAGGACACCCUGGUGGGGGUGGGGCAAGCCACUAGCAUCACUUAGUUUCUGUAACACGUCCCCAUUUGUCUUCAUUUUUGUCCUGUCCUGGUGGGGCUUGGGGAAAUGAAAGUUUACCCAUAUCUUUUAGUCUGUAAUCACAGAGACUCUUUAGUUUGGCUUCUCUCAUAACUGCAGAUUCUUUCUUUUAUGGGCGUGUUUUCUCUGCCAAGUCUGUAUUGUUUCAAGGAGAAGCAGGAUGUCUCAGGUAAACUGUUGUAUUUUUUUGUAUGUAUUUAUUUUUUUAAAUCAUUUAUUGUCAAGUUAGCUAACAUACAGUGUAUACAGUGUAGUCUUGGCUUUGGGAGUAGAUUCCUGUGAUUCAUCGCUUACAUACAACACUCAGUGCUCCUCCCAAGUGCCCUCCUCAAUGCCCAUCACCCAUUCCCCCCCCAACCCCCACCGCCUUCAACCUUCAGUUUGCUCUCUGUAUUUAAGAGUCUCUUAGGGUCUGCCUCCCUCUCUGUUUGUAACUUACUUUUCCUUCCCUUCCCCGAUGGUCUUCUGUUAAGUCUCUCAACUUUCACAUGAGUGAAAGCAUAUGAUAACUUGUGGUGAUCAGGCGUAGUCUUCUGUAAUCAUCUCACAGAUCCGAGGCCCAUUUUAGGGGAGGGGUGUGUCUUUUGCCCCCCACAGUCAUUGGAAGCCACCACUGCCUACAAAUCCUCUCCUGCUCAAAUCUCUACCUGACCCUCCCUGCCCUAAAAACUCCUUAAGCCGCUCCCUUUUGAUAUCAGGGUCAGCCUCAACUCUACAUUGAGGUCCACGUGGCUCUGUGACGUCUGGCCCUGAUGGCCCUGAUGCCCGUCCGUCUUUAGCCCCCAGCCUCUCCUUCGCACUCUCUCUGCCCCCACCAGCCUCACUCAACUUUCUGUUUUCCCAACCAUCCUGCUUUCUAUCAACACUGGGACUUUGUGUGUGCUUUUUCCACUGCUUGGUUCCGUCGGCCCCUGCCUUGUCAUCUGGCUGACUCCUGCUCAUUUCUGAGGGCUCAGCAUAGAUGUCAAUCCUCUAAACCUUCCCCUCUGCAUCCUAGGACUCUCUGGGAUGGCCCACACCUGCCACCUGUCACCUGCCAUCUAUAUUGUAAUUACGAGCUGAGGCCUGCAUGCUGUCCAGGUGGUAAGCUCUGAGCAGGCAGGGCCACGACUGUCUUACUAAUGAUUGUCCACUCAGUGUCCGGCCGAAGGCGUAGAGGAUGCUUGGUGAUACCUGAUGAAUGAGUCAAAAAGGUGAAUUAAUCAAUGUCAUCAUCAAUUUCAUAAGCCACUCUCUGAUUACUGGUUCUGACAGUCUUGAGAAUGCCUUUCCACUUGAAUGUGGAAAUGACUUACUCAUCACAAGAGUUUGCUCAUUUACUUGCCCCCCAAAAUAAAAUAAAAUUAUACCAAUGGCUUUGUGUUCAUUUGCUUUUACAGCUCAGAGGUUAUUAGCGUGGACUUUGGGGUCAAACUGCCUGGAUUUGAAUUCCAGCUUUGCCCGUUAGGGGCUGUGUGACAUCCUGUAUAUUACUUAACUUUUCUGUACCUCAGUUUCCUCGUCUGUAAUAUGGGGAUGGUAAUAAUAUGUAUACAAUAUGAUUGCUGUGAGGCUUCAAUUAGAUUACACUUGUAAAGAGAUAGCCCCUAGCACACAGAUGUGCUAUAUAAAAUUUGUUAGGUAAAGUAAAUAAAGAUAAAGCUCAAAUAAUAAGGUGGUCUCUUUGAUGAUAACCUUUUGGGGUAAAGCUUUGGCAUGGUCCUAGCACAAGGCAAAUUCGUGUCAGAGGGGAAGUUCAUUUUCAGUGUGUGGCCAUCCCCUCUUCCCACUCUUUUCUCGCCCUCUGUGGUAUUUCAUCCCACUCGUAACUCCUAGAAGUCUCAUCCUUUUCACCUUCUCCAUCUAGCAACUGCUUUCAGAUCUGUUAAAAAGACCAGUUAAUACUCUAGUGCAAACGACUUCUAGGGUUUAAGGUAUCUCCUCCCCAAAAUAUUGUCUUAACAUGAAGCGCCCUAAUUCCAAGAAUCUGGGAGGGUAGAAAAGCCUUGUUACUACAUGUCUAAGGACAGCAGACUUUGGCCAGGCUUAUUUAUGACAUCUCCCAGAAUAAGGAAUCAAGAGUGGGAGGGUUAGGCUCAUGGAGCUUAACACUGAGAAUCUUGGGGACACAUUGGGAAGAGAGAGAAAAAUGUACCAUCUAAUAACAGUGGAUGAGUUUAAAAUAGAAAAUCAGAGUUCUAGCUAGCCCACACUGUCACUCCGAGGCUACUGAGCCCUCAGGUGCCAUGUGACCCGCCCUCAGAGGAGAGCUGCGGUCUGAGGGUCAGCGUGGCAGCGGCCAGAGCUCAGCAUGGGACCCCCUGGCAGGAGGCCGCCUGGAGCCUGUAAA